rnacentral:rRNA from 1 species
UACGUAGGUGGCAAGCGUUGUCCGGAUUUACUGGGCGUAAAGAGCGCGCAGGCGGUCGUUCAAGUCGCGUGUGAAAGCCCCCGGCUCAACUGGGGAGGGUCACGCGAUACUGGUCGACUCGAAGGCAGGAGAGGGUAGUGGAAUUCCCGGUGUAGUGGUGAAAUGCGUAGAUAUCGGGAGGAACACCAGUGGCGAAGGCGACUUCCUGGCCUGUUCUUGACGCUGAGGCGCGAAAGCUAGGGGAGCAAACGGG